AGCAACAACUUCAUCAACAACAACAGCAGAAGAACCAUCAAACAAAUGGACCUCUAUGGAAAUAAAUCCAUCUACUAAUAUCAACAACUUAUCAGAAUUUCAUGGUUGGUUUUGGUCGUUCAUCAUUCGUCCCGUUUGUUUGGCAGUGAUGAUAAUAACUGUUCUGGUGAUCAGCAGAUGGAAGAAAACAAAAGGAAAUAAAUCAACAGAGGAAGAAUAAAGUCAAGUCUCCGAAACUUUGACAUACAGCUCUGUGAAUAAAGCUUCAGCUCAGACUACCAUUGAUCCAGACAGCCUCUACUGGAGCAUCAGUAAAUACGUGACAUUAAAUGUUUUAUAAAUCAGGUGAAUUGUUUUCAUUGUAAGCAAGCAGUAUCAAAAGGGCUUUGAUUUAGAUUAAUCUGACUAGUUACAGAUUGUUUUCCAGAGAAUCAGUCUGGAAAUACCACCACUGAGCAGUGAGCCCCUCUAGUGGAGAAAAGCCUAAAAUACAGACCCUGUAUGUAUGUGAUGUACUUUUUCAAUACAUAAAUAGUUUUUUUUUCAAUUUUAUUUAAAAUGCUGUUUAAAUACAAUUGAAGGCUU